UACGAAGGGGGCUAGCGUUGCUCGGAAUCACUGGGCGUAAAGCGCACGUAGGCGGCUUAUUAAGUCAGGGGUGAAAUCCUGGAGCUCAACUCCAGAACUGCCUUUGAUACUGAUGAGCUUGAGUUCGGGAGAGGUGAGUGGAACUGCGAGUGUAGAGGUGAAAUGCGCAGAUAUCAGGAAGAACACCAAUGGCGAAAGCAGCUCUCUGGGACGGUACUGACGCUGAGACGCGAAAGCGUGGGGAGCGAACAGG
rnacentral:rRNA from 1 species